GUAGCUUCCGGGGCUGUUGCCUCUUUAUAAGAGGAGGAAAGUCCGGACUCCAAAGGGCAGGAAGCUGCCGAAAGGCAGGUGGGGGAAACCUCACGGAAAGGGCCACAGAAAAUAGACAACCUUGCUUCAGUAGGCUGGUAUCAGCCGAAACUUUAUAAGCAAGGUUCAGGUGAAACGGUAGGGUAAAAGCCUACCAGUGCUGUCGGCAACGGCAGUAGCUGGCAACCCCCUUCCGGAGCAAUCCCAAGUAGGAGGGCUUAAAAGCUUGCCCGGCUUGCCCUCGGGUAGGGAGCUUAGAUAAAUGACAGCAUAAAACAGAAUCCGGCUUACCUGGAAGCUACACAU
rnacentral:RNase_P_RNA from 1 species